UACAGAGGGUGCGAGCGUUGUCCGGAAUCACUGGGCGUAAAGGGCGCGUAGGCGGCCUGGUAAGUAGGGGGUGAAAUCCUGCGGCUCAACCGCAGGGCUGCCUUCUAAACUGUCAGGCUGGAGCACGGUAGAGGCAGAUGGAAUUCCCGGUGUAGCGGUGGAAUGCGUAGAGAUCCGGAGGAAGACCGGUGGCGAAGGCGGCCUGCUGGGCAGUUACUGACACUGAGGCGCGACAGCGUGGGGAGCGAUCCGG
rnacentral:rRNA from 1 species